rnacentral:rRNA from 1 species
CCUACGGGAGGCAGCAGUGAGGAAUAUUGGUCAAUGGACGAGAGUCUGAACCAGCCAAGUAGCGUGAAGGAUGACUGCCCUAUGGGUUGUAAACUUCUUUUAUAUGGGAAUAAAAUGUUCCACGUGUGGGAUUUUGUAUGUACCAUAUGAAUAAGGAUCGGCUAACUCCGUGCCAGCAGCCGCGGUAAUACGGAGGAUCCGAGCGUUAGCCGGAUUUAUUGGGUUUAAAGGGAGCGUAGGUGGAUUGUUAAGUCAGUUGUGAAAGUUUGCGGCUCAACCGUAAAAUUGCAGUUGAAACUGGCAGUCUUGAGUACAGUAGAGGUGGGCGGAAGUCGUGGUGUAGCGGUGAAAUGCUUAGAUAUCACGAAGAACUCCGAUUGCGAAGGCAGUUCACUGGACUGCAACUGACACUGAGGCUCGAAAGUGUGGGUAUCAAACAGGAUUAGAUACCCCAGUAGUC